CGAUGGAGGGGGAUAACUACUGGAAACGGUAGCUAAUACCGCAUAACGUCGCAAGACCAAAGAGGGGGACCUUCGGGCCUCUUGCCAUCGGAUGUGCCCAGAUGGGAUUAGCUUGUAGGUAAGGUAACGGCUUACCUAGGCGACGAUCCCUAGCUGGUCUGAGAGGAUGAUCAGCCACACUGGGACUGAGACACGGCCCAG
rnacentral:rRNA from 1 species